UACGUAGGGGGCUAGCGUUGUCCGGAUUUAUUGGGCGUAAAGAGCGUGUAGGCGGCCGGGUAGGUCUGCUGUGAAAACUCGAGGCUUAACCUCGAGAUGUCGGCGGAAACCAUCUGGCUAGAGUCCGGAAGAGGAGAGUGGAAUUCCUGGUGUAGCGGUGAAAUGCGCAGAUAUCAGGAAGAACACCAGUGGCGAAGGCGGCUCUCUGGGACGGUACUGACGCUGAGACGCGAAAGCGUGGGGAGCGAACAGG
rnacentral:rRNA from 1 species